GCCUACAAUCAGUUGGAGGGCUUUUAUGGCCUGACAGCGUACCUCUUGCAUAAUGGGUCUGUGACUUAAUGUAUCAAGCAAGCUUAAGCCGUUAGGUGUAGGCGCAGCGAAAGCGAGUCUGAAUAGGGCGAUUCAGUCGCAUGUCCUAGACCCGAAGCGAAGUGAUCUAUCCAUGGCCAGGUUGAAGCGACGGUAAGACGUCGUGGAGGACCGAACCCACU
rnacentral:rRNA from 1 species